GACGUGAGAAAAGCAAAGAGAAACCACAAAACACAACACCAAAGAUCGACCAAGACGAGAAGAUCAAGAAGAUGAAAAAAAAUCCGUACACCAAGUUUGGGUUAAAAAGAAGAGUGAGUUUGAUUUGAUCUUAAAAUUUGAUUAAUUCCCAACGAUUACACCUCGAUCAAUCACAUUAAUGUUUAUAAACUCUUCCAACUCUAUCCUUCCCAAUCCCUCUCACUCAUUUUCUUUUUAAUCUUUCACAUAUUUUUCUCUGCACAAUCUCUUUGGAAUGUUCGAUCAAUAACUCAUAGUUUCAAUUAUCAUUAUUAUUAGAUUAAUUUAUUAUCAUAUAAUAAUAAUAACCCCAUCAUCAGUGACCCUGUAAUUAAUCUUGAAUUGAAUCACUCACAUAUGGGCGAAGAGACACAAAUUCAACCUCAACCACAAACCCUAAUCGGAACGGAGAUUGAACCUCAGCCUCAGUCACAGCCACAAGAGGCUUCUUCCAAUAACACCGUCGCCGCCACCGCCGCCGGCGCUAUUAUUCCCGUAGAGUCCGAACUCAGCAAUGUUCCACCACACAUCAAUUCACCGGCUACUAAAAUCCCCCUCCGUCCUCGAAAGAUCCGGAAAGUCUCUCCAGAUCCUACGACAACCUCCGAAUCUCAAUCGGAAACACCAAAAUCCGCCACUUCCACCGCUGGAAAAUCAUGCGGACGACACAGCAACAAAUCGGUUCAACAACAAAGAGCCCUAAUUGUUCCAAGAAUCGUAGCUAGGUCACUUUCGUGCGAAGGAGAAGUCGAAAUCGCACUUCGUUACCUUCGCAACGCAGACCCACUCCUCUCCCCGCUCAUCGACAUUCACCAACCUCCAACAUUCGAUAAUUUCCAUACUCCAUUUCUUGCCCUAACCCGUAGCAUAUUGUAUCAACAACUGGCAUUUAAAGCCGGAACUUCGAUUUAUACACGCUUUAUUGCUCUAUGUGGUGGUGAGGCUGGUGUUGUUCCUGAAACUGUUCUUGCCCUAAAUCCGCAGCAACUUCGUCAGAUUGGGGUUUCUGGUAGAAAAGCUAGUUAUCUCCACGAUUUGGCUAGGAAGUAUCAGAAUGGAAUACUUUCUGAUUCCGCCAUUGUAAAUAUGGAUGAUAAAUCGCUUUUCACAAUGCUUACUAUGGUUAAUGGGAUUGGUUCUUGGUCUGUUCAUAUGUUUAUGAUUUUCUCGCUUCAUAGACCUGAUGUUCUUCCCAUUAAUGAUCUUGGUGUUCGGAAGGGGGUUCAGAUUCUUUAUAAUCUUGAAGACUUGCCUCGACCGUCUCAGAUGGAUCAAUUGUGUGAGAAGUGGAGGCCUUAUAGGUCUGUUGCUUCAUGGUAUAUGUGGAGGUUUGUUGAAGCCAAGGGAACUCCUUCGAGUGCCGUGGCUGUUGCCACUGGUGCUGGAUUGCAGCAGCACCAGCUUGAGCAGCACCAACAGCAACAACAGCAGCAGCAGCAUUCACAACAACAGCUUAUGGAUCCCAUGAAUAGCAUGUUUAAUAUCGGGUAAUUCAGGAACUAUAUAGAAAAAAGUGGAAAAAUGACCUGCUUUCAGCUGUUCGUCAUCCUUUUAGGGCUGCCUGUGCCUGGGGACAGUGAUCGCCGACGAAAUGGAGAAAGUUGUCAUCAAGAUUUGCUAGCGGCCGCUCAUACUUGAAGUUGCAAAGCCACACCGUUAUGGGUACUUAAGGAUAGAUCUUAGUUAGUACUGGAACAUGGACAUUGAUUGCAUUGAAGGAUUAGUGUAUGAUUGCUUUGUGUUUAAUAAAACUAGUGUAGGAUAAUAAAGGCUAGUCCUUAAUUUUGUUUUGUUUAUCACCAAUUGCAAUGGUCGGAGGCCAAUUUCAACUUGUCAAGUCAGUCUUUUGGUAGGUAGGAUAUAAAUGACCGCUUGGUAAUGUGGUUUGGACUUCAGACCUUGUAACUAAUGUACGGGUUCUUAUUUUACAUCGUGAUAGUGAAUGGGAGCCUUUGCGUUAUGAUUCGUAUGUUAACAUAAGUGCUUGAUUUAAAUUAA